rnacentral:lncRNA from 1 species
AUUGACUGGGAUUGAUGUGGAUAAAGGACUGGAACUAACAUAUGCUGGGACCAUCUAACGUGCCAGGCCUGGGGAGAUGGAGGCACCAAGACGACCUGAUUUUGUCGAACACUUUGCAAACUCAACACCAAGGUGAAGUCAGCUCGAGGGGAGUCGGAAGAAGUUUUAGCUCCUCAGGUGACUCUCACAUACAGCUGAUGCUGAGGACCAGCCUAAACCAGCGGGUUGAAGUCCGCCGUGUCCAGGGCACUUCCUGUUCUGAGCGGCCCAGCGCCCCAGAAGCCCAGAGCCGACUGCCCCCGGGAGCGCUCCAUUCUUCUUGUCAGAGGGGGCUGUCUGAAGCAACAUGAGUAGGAACGGAAUAAGGCCCGAGAAAGCACAAAUGGGUUAACAAAGCUGAUCUUUUAACCAGUUUAUUGUAUUUUUACAGUAAUAAAAAUAAAUUAGUCAUACACAAAAAUAGUCGUCAUUUUGGCUGAAGAGAAAACAGACUGUAUUUACUCACAUAAUUCACCUUCUAUCCUCCUUAAACAAUAAUUUAACACCACAAGGGUGACAUGGAGUCGCUGGAGCAUCAGAGGGUUCCUUGCUCCGGGCUGUGCAGUUGCCAGGACAACUCAGAGCUCCACCCCAGCAGUCCCAUUGGGGACCCUGGAGGCGUGGGCAGAGCGCGAAACACCUCCCCUCCCUUCCAGCCCCUCCCCGUCCCUUCCAGCCCCUCCCCGUCCCUUCCAGCCCCCUCCCGCCCUUCCAGCCCCUCCCCGGCC